rnacentral:ncRNA from 1 species
UGCCCUGUAGACUGGGAUAACUUCGGGAAACCGAAGCUAAUACCGGAUAAUCUUUGGAACCUCAUGGUUCUAAAGUGAAAGUUGGGUUUACCUAACACUACAGGAU